AAUGCGACCCAUUUUUUUCUCUCUCUCGCGGGCUUUGUUUCAGUGUUGCGGAACACUUCGAAAUCUCGAAACUCCCAUUCGUUGUCUUCACAACAAAAAUACCGUGAAUACGUGUACUUGUCGCAUGUAAACAAGCCCUGCCUGGAGAGCACUUUCAUGUCAUCUCCAGCUGGGUUACAGGCUCAGCAGUGCCAAACAAACUUCCUCUCCCGAUGGAUGCCAAGCAGCUCUUGUGCCGGGGUUAUCCUGAACCACUACCUAGACCUGGCUGAGUCUCUUCGACAUAGCUCUGUCUGGGGGUCCCGGGACGUGGUCGAUUCCUUCGCCUCUCAAUUCCUUUGCCUCAGUGUACAUUCCCUCGUCCAUGAUGCUGAGUCUGGGACAGAAUUGAACAAACAGAACCAGCGACCUGGGGAUAGGCCUGGAGAGAUGGACGGUAUGGAGAAGUUGGUAAAGCAGUCUCAGGACCUACCCCUGAUACUCAAACUUGAACAGCUGAGGCAGUGGCAGCAACACAUGCAGGAGCAACUGAAAGCCCACCAGCUGGAAGAGCUGGUCCAUCUCCAGGAGGAGCAACAGAGGCUACUCGGCAUGGUGCAUGUUGCUCAACAGGAUGGAGCAGAUACUGAAACACGCUCACACUGUGUUAUUGCCAUGUCAUUGUUGUUAUUCCGGUGGUAUUACUCAGCAAUCUGGAUGGAGCAGGAAGCACCAGUUUGAGUUUGACACCCCUGAUUUAGACAAGACUGAUUUCCCACAGAUUACAUAGAGACCUCCAGGUUGACGGGAGCAGACUGGAGAGAGGGAACUAAUUGGGGGACGCCCCCCUUUCUCAAAGUUCCUCAACAGCCCAGAGCUUCCCUAUAGGCCCCCCACAAGGGCCUGCGUCUUCCCAGCUUUGUAGACAGGGGCCUGCCUUCCAACAGCCUCCAAGGGGCCAGGAGCAGGAGGGAGAGGAUCAGGACCAAACACUGGACAGGGACAGAAGCAUGGAGCAGUCCACACAAACAUCAGCUGAGUGGGAAUGCUGAUCAUAUGGGUGAUAAUGAGGAGAUGGAAGAAGUCAUGUUAUCCCCCCAUUCUGCUCCCUCUAUGAUCGAAGAAUGCAAAGAUUAGAGGAGAUGACAGUGAACUAGACUCACAGGACAGACCCAUUAAACAAGGAAUAGAGGGGCAGAAGCAAACAUUUGAGGAGCUCCUGGAGGAAGAGCUGAGACUGGCGGAGCAGAGACUGAAGACCACCCAGCAGCAGCAGAGCCCAGAGGCAGUUGAGGGUGCCAUUCCCAAAAGGUUCUUCCUGAGGCAAGGGGAGGGCCUCUCUAGAUUCACCAAUAGAAGCAAAGCCAACAGACAGAGACCCCAAACCCCAGGGGACCUCAGAACCCAAGCCCGCCCAGAGGGUCAGUCAGUGGCCUCCCAUACAGUGCAAGACUGCUGUGCUCAACAAGGCGAAUAGACCCAGAGAUCCCUGCUCACCCCCCCUGGACAGUGGCAGUCCAGACAGCAAGGCAGCGCAGCCAGAGGCAGUGAGACCCGGAGUCCGGCGCAGUCACCACAGACAGAACAUGGCACCUGACCUUCUGAGACCUAGGAAUGUGAUUAGUAACAAGGUGGGUGGGACUUCUCAGCCUGUGAGUAGAACUCCUGCAGCUGCAAUUAAACAGUUUGGGCUUGAGGAGAGGACUGGGGCCCUGCAGAGAAAUGGAAGUGGUCCAUUGAGACUAGAUGGAGCAGCAGAGGGAAAACCAGGCGUUGUUUCAGACUAUUCCUUUGAGCUGUCAUUUCAGGAGAAGUUGCAGCGCUGGGACUGUGACCGUCACAAGGAGUGUGUGGAGCUAGGAGAGUUUGAGCUGCUGGAGCAGGCAGCCGAGGAGCUCUCUUUCUCCUCCAACUCAUCCUUCGUCAUGAAGGCUUGUGCUGCAGCUGGACCAGCAACACCCCCUCCAUGGCAGCUGGGGGCACCACCCGCUACGCCUGUCCUCCACUCCAAUCAAAUCCCCCAAACCCUUGCCAACUAAAGGUAUUCACAGCAGAGGCACCAGUAAAAGUGGCCUAGGAACAGGAACCAGCUCCUCUGAAUCAUCAGGAGUAUUUGCUGUGAGGGCAAAGGAGGUUGUGAUGAGGGAAAAAGGAAAAGCCACUGAGGAGGAAGAUGAAAUGAGGGACCGCAAACAUGAGGAAAUCUGUAUUUCGUUCCAUAGCAGCUCUGAAUUCGGGGAUCAGGAGGAAGUAGCCCGACCGCCGUACCAAACUAUAUUUCCCAGCAACCCCUGGGAAAACACGCUCCCCACAUCCAGCCCUCCAUGCGACAAGAGGUCAUAUCAGGACAGAGAGGGGGGCAGGGAGAGAGACCUUGACGACUCCACCCUAUUGGAAGACAGAGAAGAGGGGGACCGCAAGGGUCGGUUGGUGUUUGAUGACGAUGACACCUGGAAUGACCUGGAGGUGGCUGGCAGAAUCAUUGAGGACCCCAUCAGAACAAAAGGCGCUGCUAUAGGAAACAGCCACACUCCCACAAUAACAGGGAACGACGUCUCACCCCCAGAGAGGAAGCUGAAGAGAAAGGUGGCUGGGGCCGAGCUGGAGAGGGUGUCAAUUAUCACAGCAGCCAACCAGGAGCCAGAUCCUCCCAGCUUAUGGCCAGGCUGUUCCCCUCGCUGAAGCCCAAGACCCAGGCCCCUCCUCCACCAGAGCCUAGGAAGUCUGAGAACGGACCAGGCCAGCAGCAGCACUCCAGGCAGCUGAGGGAGAGAGAACGAUUCAGGACAGAGAACACUGCCCUGGCCAGACUCCGACUGGAGAACGAGAAUAACCAGGAAUAUCUCAGGAAGGAGAGGGCAGAGUUUGAGCAGCAGAAGGCUGAGGAGCUGGCCAGGUUUGAAGAGUUCGAGAGAGGAGACUAAGAAGCUGCAGAAGUAACGCAAGGUGUUUGAGAAGCACACCUCCGCCGCCAGGGCCAUACCAGAUAAGAGGGAGCACGACGAGAUCCAGGCCCUGAAGCAGCAGCUGAGUUCCCUACACAAGGAGCUGAAGUGGAGAGAGAGCCACGGGUCCACCACACACAGGCGUCUCCGACAGCAGAUCGACUCCCUGAGCUCAGACAACAGUGCCCUGAGAGACGAGGUCCGCACCCUGGAGAAACUAAGCCUCGGCACCUGGAGGAAGACUGGGACAGACAGCGAUAGAGAGGAAGACCGGCGGGAGAAUGAGAGAGAGAGGGAGGGACCCAGGCCAUUUGACAGCAACAUUGCUCUUGGAGCCAGGGGCCUCAAAUUGGCAAGUCCUGACACAGUGAGGAGUUGCCCACCACAGAGCAGUAGCUCCUCUAGAGGCAGUGCUGCUAUUGAAGACAGUAUCAGGGGCAUCCUAAAGAGGUCAGCCCCAACAGCAGCCGCAGCACCCGAUCCCACUGUUACAGCUCAGACGAACAACCAUCUUUGACCAGAAGUCACCACCCACCACAGAGCCACGACCACUCACACAACCCAUCCCCUAGGGCUCCAGGUCUGCGUCCACAGAGGUCAACAAGCAGCAAGAGCUAAGUCAGGAUGUCAUCAUUCACCCUGAUGGAAAGAUGGAGAGGGUGCUGGCCUGUGGAGAGAGACUCAUCAUCUUUCCCAAUGGGACCAGGAAGGAGGUGUUAGCGGAUGGACUGACAGCCAAUGUCACCUUCUUCAACAGGGACAUCAAGCAGGUUAUGGCUGACCAGAGUGUGGUGGGUUACUGACAGUGACCCUUCCCUGGCCUUAGUUAGUGCAUUAGCUCAACACCUUAAGUGGGAUAUUAAACUUACAUGAAUCCCAGAUCGGUGUGUGUGUGGUCCUCUUACAGAUCUACUACUAUGCUGAUGCCCAGACCCCUCACACCACCUAUCCUGACGGCAUCGAGGUUCUGCAGUUCCCCAACAACCAGACUGGUGAGAUUUGAUGGAAACAUCUCAUUAUUAUACUUAAUUACCUCCUUCUCCACCACUUUGUUCUGACCCGAAGCAUUUCCCCGAUGGCCGUAAGGAGAUCACGUACCCUGACCAGACAGUUAAGAACCUGUACCCAGAUGGGACGGAGGAGUGUACACUCACUGAUGGGACCAUCAUUCAAGUUAACCUGGAUGGCAGUAAGGAGAUCCGGUUCAACACAGGCCAGAAGGAGGUCCACACAGCAGACUAUAAAAGGAGGGAGUACCCAGAUGGCAGACAGGAGACCCGCUACACCACCGGACGCCAACGUUGUCAUGGACAACAGGCCCUAGGACUGAAUCAUUUGUGUUUCGAGAAGUUUAGUUUAAUGUCUAUUUAUUUUACCUGAUUAAUUUAUUUUGUAAAAUAAACGUUUAUCAAAUCCCUGUG